rnacentral:rRNA from 1 species
UAGAGUUUGAUCCUGGCUCAGGACGAACGCUGGCGGCGUGCUUAACACAUGCAAGUCGAACGGAGUGCCCUGAAAGAGUUUUCGGACAAUGGAUGGGAACACUUAGUGGCGGACUGGUGAGUAACGCGUGAGGAACCUGCCUUCCAGAGGGGGACAACAGUUGGAAACGACUGCUAAUACCGCAUGAUACAUUUGAAUCGCAUGGUUUGAAUGUCAAAGAUUUAUCGCUGGAAGAUGGCCUCGCGUCUGAUUAGCUAGUUGGUGAGGUAACGGCCCACCAAGGCGACGAUCAGUAGCCGGACUGAGAAGUUGGCCGGCCACAUUGGGACUGAGAUACGGCCCAGACUCCUACGGGAGGCAGCAGUGGGGAAUAUUGGGCAAUGGACGCAAGUCUGACCCAGCAACGCCGCGUGAAGGAAGAAGGCUUUCGGGUUGUAAACUUCUUUUAAGGGGGAAGAGCAGAAGACGGUACCCCUUGAAUAAGCCACGGCUAACUACGUG